CCCACAACCAUAUAACCAACUAUUUCUACAGCUACAGUCACUGCCAGCCAUAUCAUAGCACUGAAAAAAUAACACAUAUUUUAAGCUUUUUUAAAAGUAAAACAGAAGAUUUGACGAUAUUUGUAUUUUAAUCAUAUAGCGUGACGUUUUACUACAAGGAGAUACAAUGCAUUUUACAUUACAAAAGCGAAAUAAGACGUGGAUGCCUGCUACCAAUUUGAGCAUCGUGGGAUUGGUGGUUUAUAUUUUGGCCUGCCCUGCGUCCAGUAUGGAUGUCCUGGUCCAUAACCAGAUCAACGUCCUGAACGGCACCAUGGUGAGGAUCCAGUGCAUCUUCACCUCCUGCUACAAGAUGGACGUCAACAAGUUUGCCAUGAACUGGACCUACCAGGAGAACACCAACGAGACUGAGGAGAUGUUCAUGACCUAUAAGAAGGGGAUGAUGCCCCUGCGGACAGACCGGUUCAGUGACCGGGUGCAGUUUGUGGGUAACCUGGAAAAGAACGACUUGUCCAUCACCCUCUCUGAUGUCCAGCUGUCGGACGAGGGCGUCUAUAACUGCUAUGUCCGUAACCCCCCUGACCGCAUCCAGGGCCACGGAAUCAUCAACAUGUUUGUCGUCACAGAAUUGCCUCCCCCACGGGACUCGACCAUAGCGGUGGCGAUCGGGGCGUCAGUCGGCGGUGCGCUGGCUCUGCUCAUCCUGUCCAUGGUGGUGGUGAAGUGUAUACGGCGUCACAAGAAACAGGAGCUCAUUUCUGACGAGCAGAAGAUGGAGGAAGAGGGCAAGCUGGAUGCAGAGGGGGGCCCCGAGGAGGGAACCAAGCAGCUAUAACCGGCCUGCAUGGUCCUGGAGGCCCAAGGUUCGCUGGAGCCCAACCUCCUCCCUCACGCUGGAAAGCAUUCCUGCCUGAAGAUGUAUAGUGACCCUUGCUUGAAUCCUCAUCCAGCAUCUGCCUCACCCCACGCCGCCUCCCUCCCUCCUCUUGUCCAUCCAAACAAGAUUGCAGUUAUGGGAAGCCCCAGCCACCAGCCACGCCACCAACGCCACCCCUGCCUCUAUCUUCAGUCAGUCUUAUCUCCUCUCUUCUUUGACGGGGAGCCACAAAAGGUGGAGGAGACUAGUAGACAGCAGUCUCCAAACGACAUUCCUCUUUCCCCUUUUUCUCGCUUGUAGUCUAGCUUAAGAUAGAGAUGUAAGACCUUAAUUUGAUCACCCUGUAGCAGCAUAACUUUCCUACAAUGCAGGAUGUUUAAAAUGUGUACUGUAUUGGAGGUUUAAAAAGGCUUCUGAAGUUUUCCCUUAUGAAAAAUGCAUCAACUCUUAGAAAAAGAUCAAUUCAUUCUAAUUCACAUUUCCUGUUGCUGCAGGACUAUUUUCCUGCUGUAGCAAACUGGCUCAAAUUAAGAUCCUACAUCUGUAGAGUAAAUGGAUGGUUUGACAUCCAUGGUUACUGGGAAAGAUCCUGCUCUCUCUCUAUCGCUCUCUUAAAUUGUUGUCUUCUAACUUGCCACUCCAUUGGAUAACAAAUUAUUUACUUCCAAAUCAUAUAAUUCUCUCUCGCUCUCUCUCGCUCACUCUCUCUCGCUCUAAUUCUUUUGCUCUGUCACAUUACUUAGCGAUGCAUAAUGGCUGGGGCAAAAAAAGUUCCCUUUUUUUUCUGACAGCUAGUGUGUGUGUGUCCAAAUUAUACCUUUCUGUGGGAGAAUGGUGUGGGUGUAUUUUUGUCUGUGUGUGUUAGUUUUUAUGUACAGGGUAUAAGGUUGUGAAUGACCUUCAGAUGUAACUACGAUCAGUGUGGGUGGUGUGUGUGUGUGUGUGUGUGUGUGUGUGUGUGUGUGUGUGUGUGUGUGUGUGUGUGUGUGUGUGUGUGUGUGUGUGUGUGUGUGUGUGUGUGUGUGUGUGUGUGUGUGUGUGUGUGUGUGUGUGUGUGUGUGUGUGUGUGUGUGUGUGUGUGUGUAUUUGAGAAUGUGUUUGAGUGUCCUUAGAGUGUCCGAGUGUCUUUCCUUCAAACUCAGAGUCUCCCUUCAUGGAGAAGCCAGGCAUGAUUUUAUCAGUAGUCAACUCUUCUGAACCCUUGCUUCACCUCCAAUAUGAUAUUUUAGCCUGUGUUGCUUGCUCAUACAUCGAAACAAACAUACAUCGAAACAACACACAUUUGUAUUGCUAUGAAUAAAGCUAGUACAAUAUCAUACAUAAGCAUGACAUUUUUUGCAUACAUUUUGCAUACAUUAAGACAGGCACAAUUCUGUCUACAAUGGAUUGUGGGUUCGAUUCCCACGGGGGGCCAGUACCAAAAAAAAUAAAUGCAUGAAAUGUAUGCAUUCACUACUGUAAGUCGCUCUGGAUAAGAGCGUCUGCUAAAUGACAAAAAAUGUAAAAUGGAUAGAUCAUUAAUGGUCUGACAUUAUAUACUAACUGACAUUGUACAAAAAGCCCAAUCCCCAAAUGAUGUCCCCCUUUUGUCCACAUGCAGUAACCCUUACACAACACCUGAAUGUCCGGCCCUAGUUGGUUGUUGACACACAAAUGAGCACACAGACACACUGGCUAUACGUGAUCCAACACAUUGGCUUCAAACACCACAUACAGCCGUGUAGCUGUUUUGCACAUCAGAAGUCCAAACGCUGAGGCCUACACAUACAUAAAAGCUGAGCACUUUCAGGGAAAACAGAAAAAAAAGUACAAUAGAGAAAAAUUUAUAUCAGAUACAUAUAUUUAUACGUUUUGACCAAAUACCAAGCUGUACUCUAGAGGUGUGCUUUGAUUGUUGUCGCUAUUUACGUGUGGUCCUCACUGUCUUAAACUAUCAAUGUUUGAAUGUAUGAGACCUCUCUCCUCUGAGGUAAUUGAUCUUGGAUGUUCUUUGGAUGUUACAUAUUUAGCUCUAUUAGUAUUGCACUGGUUGUGAAUGUAUUUGGGAGACAACGUGAGAUGUCCAAGUUGACGUAACAACUACUUUUGAAAUGAAUAUACGAUCAAUCAUUCCACUUUCCACCCACUGAAUUUCAAACUACCUUCACAGAUGUAGGGCUUACGUUACAUUAUCACACAAGUAUUAUAAUGUAUGUAAGUCUGUGAAGGAUCACACAAAGUAUCCAAAAGCACAGAUAAACUGUGGAUUUGCUAAACAAUAUCACAACCCUAAAAUAGUAACAUUUAUUUAUUUUAGUCAAAAUGUGUAAAAUGUUACCUUCAUUUGAUCCUUGUGUUUAAACGUCUUGGCUUUGUAUUUUCCAACAGACAGUGUUGGGGGAGCAGAUAGCCUAUGGGAGUGUGACUGUAGGUUGGCAGAAUAUGACUGGGUGCCUCUGGUGUUGUCUGAUGUGGUUUUAAGGCCUAAAGCCAGGGGCCACGCUGAUUCUGUGCCCAGGAGUGCCCUACCUCAUCUGGAGACAGUCUCUCCCUGUCUCUGCAAUGGGCACUGCAUUCAUAGGCUGCCUUUAUGUUAUUCACUGCCAAAGCUUGUUUCUUUUAUACUUUGUUUCUUAUUAUUUGUCUCCUCAAAUCCGUCGUAGUUUAGAUUUCAUUUGAUUGAGUAUUGUAUUUUGACAUUGUUGAGUUUUGUACCACAUAGUUAUGUAAUUUGUACUUUAUGAUGUGACUUUGUGGUUGUCCUAGCUGUUGACGUUGUGGUAGCUAUCAUUACCUGGUCUUUGGGAAGUUAGCCUGAGUUUGGGGAGCUCACAUCUGAAAGAUCAUUAAUUAAACAGAGGAAGGUCAAUGCUGAUCUCCACUUGUAGGGUGUACACGCUCCCUUUCUAGAAUGACUUAAUUACUAAUUACUAUAUGAAUUAAUUAAACUUCUGUGCAAUUGUGACUGUGGUGUUAAUCAGUUUGUAUGGAGUCUGAGACAUCAGCUAGAUGCAUGGUUAGAAGUCUGGGAAGCUUGUUGUCACAACCAGAGAAUAUAUAUCUAGGUCACAAUCAGACUUAAUUUCCAAAGUAAUGAUGGCACCUCAAGAAUUAACCAAAACAAUUAUAAUUUAGAUUGUACUGUAUUUUAUACAUGAACACAGACACACAGUGCUACCAAUGGGUAGGGGACAAAGCACAUGUUCCAAAAAAAAAAUAGAAUAAUCUGUAGCCUAAUGAAAUCAACAUGACCUCCAUUUCUCCCGUCAUUCACUCUGACAUCUCUGCUGGAGUCCUGAAUGCUGGGUAGCUAGCUGGGAUAGUGGAGGUCCCGGAGUUUCGCGUUUGCCUGCCUGUCUCUGUGUGAUCAUGCAUGUUUUUACUGCAGUGUUCCUCUGUGACGCAUGGCUCUAACCAGGCCCUCUCGCACCGAACACCAGAAAUGCUUGCACUGCACUGUGUCUCUAAGAAUGAGCUGUAAUCAAUAUUGUAUUUUGAAAUAAAAAUGAGUACAUAAAUAUUA